GCGGGUGUGGCGAAAUUGGCAGACGCACCAGAUUUAGGUUCUGGCGCCGCAAGGCGUGGGGGUUCAAGUCCCUUCACCCGCACGA
rnacentral:tRNA from 1 species